AUUGAACGCUGGCGGCAGGCCUAACACAUGCAAGUCGUGCGAGAGGCGGACGGGUGUGUAAUGUCUGGGAAACUGCCUGCUGGAGGGGGAUAACUACUGUAAACGGUAGCUAAUACCGCAUACCAUCGCGUGUGCCCAUAUGGGAUUAGCUAGUAGGUGGGGUAACGGCUCACCUAGGCGACGAUCUCUAGCUGGUCUGAGAGGAUGAUCAGCCACACUGGAACUGAGACACGGUCCAGACUCCUACGGGAGGCAGCAGUGGGGAAUAUUGCACAAUGGGCGCAAGCCUGAUGCAGCCAUGCCGCGUGUAUGAAGAAGGCCUUCGGGUUGUAAAGUACUUUCAGCGGGGAGGCGUUACCCGCAGAAGAAGCACCGGCUAACUCCGUGCCAGCAGCCGCGGUAAUAC
rnacentral:rRNA from 1 species